rnacentral:rRNA from 1 species
GAGCACGUAGGUGGGUUUGUAAGUCAGAUGUGAAAGCCUUCUGUUCAACGGAAGAAUUGCAUCUGAAACUGCGAGUCUUGAGUGUAGGAGGGGAGAAUGGAACUUCUGGUGGAGCGGUGAAAUGCGUAGAUAUCAGAAGGAACGCCGGCGGCGAAAGCGAUUCUCUGGCCUAUUACUGACACUCAGUGUGCGAAAGCUAGGGGAGCAAACGGGAUUAGAUACCCCGGUAGUCCUAGCCGUAAACGAUGGGCACUAAGUAGAGGGAAUUACCGAUAUUCUCUCUGCCGUAGCUAACGCAUUAAGUGCCCCGCCUGGGGAGUACGGCCGCAAGGCUAAAACUCAAAAGAAUUGACGGGGGCUCGCACAAGCGGUGGAGCAUGUGGCUUAAUUCGAUGCAACGCGAAAAACCUUACCGGGGCUCGACAUGGUAGAAGUAGGAACCCGAAAGGGUAACGAACGGUAUCCAGUCCGUAGCUAUUACAGGUGUUGCAUGGCUGUCGUCAGCUCGUGUCGUGAGACGUUGGGUUAAGUCCCCUAACGAGCGAAACCCUUGUUUUUAGUUGCCAGCGGGUUAUGCCGGGCACUCUAGAAAGACUGCCGUCGUCAAGACGGAGGAAGGUGGGGACGACGUCAAGUCAUCAUGGCCCUUAUGCCCCGGGCUGCACACGUGCUACAAUGGUCGGUACAAACGGAAGCGAAGCCGAGAGGUGAAGCGAAUCC